AGUGAGUAAACUCAUUUUAUAUGAAAACGCGUCAUAUCCAAGUUCUGGUGCUGUGAACUAAAUGUGUUAUAAUGGGAUAACUAGGAGUACGUACCGUUCUUCUAUAGUUGUUACAGAGAACGGAAUCAAACCAAAGCAGGUUACAAGCACUCAAUGGACAAACACUAAGUGUACCAAAUGUACUAUACCAUAUUAAGGAUUCCAAAUCAGGUAGCUAUCUGCUAAACAGCGCCCUAAUUUGGUAUCAUUUGGAAUUGUGGGAAUAAUGGUGCCUGAAUUUU